rnacentral:rRNA from 1 species
GGGAGGAAGGUGGGGAGUGACGUCAAGUCAUCAUGGCCCUUACGCCUAGGGCUACACACGUACUACAAUGGUGGGUACAAAGGGCAGCGAAACCGUGAGGUCGAGCGAAUCUCAAAGAACCCAUCAUAGUCCGGAUUGCAGUCUGCAACUCGACUGCAUGAAGUUGGAAUCGCUAGUAAUCCCGGAUCAGCAUGCCGGGGUGAAUACGUUCCCGGGCCUU